GAGGGAUGAGCCUGAGGUGUCAGCAUCUUCACAGGUCUUUUGAGCCUGCAUGCACAAAAGGGUCUACUGUCCCUGGGAGAUCUCAUCAGAGGUGCCUGAAAAGCACCUCAGCCGAAGGCCUCACAUAGAGAGACCUAAGAAUGAAGGCACCUGGACUAGGAAUGUGAAUAUGUGAAAGAACAUGACCGGCCAGGGGCCCUGAGUUAUUGAAUGCAACCCCCUUCAGACACUGCAACACACAGGCUGUGCACCAAGCCUAGUAUGGGAAGGACAGCUUUUCUUCAUGAGGCCUGCCAGGUAAAGCCAGCUAUGAAACAGGAAGUUGACCUUCACCAGACACUGAACCUACUGGCACCUUGAUCUUGGACUUCCCA
rnacentral:lncRNA from 1 species